UUGACCUCGGAUCCAG
rnacentral:rRNA from 1 species